UCUGUUGUACAACUGUGAUGCUUAGUACCAGCACUGUAUUCAGGAGCAGCCCAAGAUAGGACUAGAGUCGGUAGCGGACCUCUGAUGGUGGACCUGAAGUUCAUUUUCCAUUGCCACAGCGACAGGAAGGAAAGCUGAAACCAGGAGUGCCGGCGGGAGAGCUGCAGGGCAGGACGCAAUGCCAUCAAGUGACUGGAGUCUCGUUAUUAGGAAAUGUGGAAAGGUUACUGAAACUGGUAAGCAGGCCACAGGAACUGAAUACUCCCAGGGAUGAGGGAGGCACUGGUGAACACUGAACCCUUUU
rnacentral:lncRNA from 1 species